CUCCCACCACCCGCCAGCCCCUGCCGCCUGUUCCCUGCCAAGGCUCCAGUUGUUUCCUAGUGUCUGGUCUACUCCAGGACCAUGGUAGACAAAGCAUUUUCUGAGCUUCCACUUGGACACUGAAUGUGCUGAAGAUAGCCAGAGGCCACCAGGAAUUUGCACAUUUGCACUUCUGUUUUCUAGGUGAGAGGAUGUCUAUUUCUACCUGGUUCUCCUGGGGAAAAACAGCUCCAACACCAGUUCUGGUCUUCUGAGGACACAGGGCACUGAAUCAAGAGCCAUCUUUCUGGACCUGUGGAUCUGGUCCACAUAUAGGCAGACUGUAGAGGAAUCCUGGCUUGGGGGAGCCAAGGUGGGAACCCACAGCCCCCUUGCUUACAUCAAGCUGGGACAGGCUCACAGGCCAGAUGUUUAGGUAGUGCCUCCAUCCUCCCCUCUGCAUGGCCCCUGGGACCUGCAUUGCUUCCAGCCUGGGGUCCCUCCUCUCCCUCCCCUACUUGCCUGCCAGAGACCAGGGUCCUGCCCCCUCCUCCACCAGGGCUUCACACCUCCAGAGAGCACGCCCAGGCAUGGUAGGGCAUGGAAUCCGGAGAGCUUGCUGAGCGAGGAGCCCACUGGCAGCACCUGGAGGGGGUGGAGUGGAGGCCAGAAGCUGGGGAUUUUUCCUUAAUAACAACUUGGCGGCCCAAUUCAUUGGUGGCUCUGCAAGCCUGCUCAACCCCGCUCUGCCCUGCCAAGAGGAGCCUUCAUCUUCAAAGCUUUUUGGGAAACAGUUAAUUAACCCCUACAGCCCUCCUGCCUACCCAGGAGGCUGCGGUUCCCUGAUCUCCUUGAGGUGGUGCAAGGGGAGGGCAGUGAAACUAAAGCUUAGAGAAAGGGUGUGGGGCUGGAUCCAAGUGCUCCCAGCAUCCCGGGCGUGGAAGCUGCCUUCCCUUCUGGGCCUUCCCAGGCCUGCCCCUCAGGUGGCUAGUGGGACCUCCAGAGGCCAAGCCAUAUAGUAAGGGGGCUAUGGGUUGAAGAGUUUAUCUUGCAACACAGUUUAUUUUAGUUUAGUCCUACUGUCUCCCUGUGCCUUAGUUUCCACCUCCUUAAAACAAGGGACAUUAACAGUACCUAGUUGUCAGCAUCAUGGGGGCAAUCUAAUGGGAUGUGGAAGGAUCAAAAGCUCUGGGACCUGUGUCCAAA
ensembl:lncRNA